rnacentral:rRNA from 1 species
UACAGAGGGUGCAAGCGUUGCUCGGAUUUACUGGGCGUAAAGCGUACGCAGACGGUGAGAAAGGUCGGAUGUGAAAGCCCCGGGCUCAACCCGGGAACUGCAUCCGAAACCAUCUCGCUAGAGUAUGGGAGAGGGAAGCGGAAUUCCUGGUGUAGAGGUGAAAUGCGCAGAUAUCAGGAAGAACACCCGUGGCGAAGGCGGCUCUCUGGGACGGUACUGACGCUGAGACGCGAAAGCGUGGGGAGCGAACAGG